AGAGUUUGAUCCUGGCUCAGAACGAACGCUGGCGGCAGGCUUAACACAUGCAAGUCGAACGCCCCGCAAGGGGAGUGGCAGACGGGUGAGUAACGCGUGGGAAUCUACCGUGCCCUGCGGAAUAGCUCCGGGAAACUGGAAUUAAUACCGCAUACGCCCUACGGGGGAAAGAUUUAUCGGGGUAUGAUGAGCCCGCGUUGGAUUAGCUAGUUGGUGGGGUAAAGGCCUACCAAGGCGACGAUCCAUAGCUGGUCUGAGAGGAUGAUCAGCCACAUUGGGACUGAGACACGGCCCAAACUCCUACGGGAGGCAGCAGUGGGGAAUAUUGGACAAUGGGCGCAAGCCUGAUCCAGCCAUGCCGCGUGAGUGAUGAAGGCCUUAGGGUUGUAAAGCUCUUUCACCGGAGAAGAUAAUGACGGAUCCGGAGAAGA
rnacentral:rRNA from 1 species